rnacentral:rRNA from 1 species
CGCGUGCUACCAUGCAAGUCGAACGAUGAAGCUGGAGCUUGCUCCGGUGGAUUAGUGGCGAACGGGCGAGUAACACGUGAGAAAUCUGCCCUUGACUCUGGGAUAACUGCGGGAAACUGUAGCUAAUACCGGAUACUUUCCUUGGUGGGCAUCCACUGGGGAAGAAAGAAUUUCGGUCAAGGAUGAUCUCGCGGCCUAUCAGCUAGUUGGUGAGGUAACGGCUCACCAAGGCGACGACGGGUAGCCGGCCUGAGAGGGUGACCGGCCACACUGGGACUGAGACACGGCCCAGACUCCUACGGGAGGCAGCAGUGGGGAAUAUUGCACAAUGGGCGCAAGCCUGAUGCAGCAACGCCGCGUGAGGGAUGACGGCCUUCGGGUUGUAAACCUCUUUUAGCAGGGAAGAAGCGCAAGUGACGGUACCUGCAGAAAAAGCACCGGCUAACUACGUGCCAGCAGCCGCGGUAAUACGUAGGGUGCAAGCGUUGUCCGGAAUUAUUGGGCGUAAAGAGCUCGUAGGCGGUUUGUCGCGUCUGCUGUGAAAAUCCGAGGCUCAACCUCGGACCUGCAGUGGGUACGGGCAAACUAGAGUGCGGUAGGGGAGAUUGGAAUUCCUGGUGUAGCGGUGGAAUGCGCAGAUAUCAGGAGGAACACCAAUGGCGAAGGCAGAUCUCUGGGCCGUAACUGACGCUGAGGAGCGAAAGCGUGGGGAGCGAACAGGAUUAGAUACCCUGGUAGUCCACGCCGUAAACGGUGGGAACUAGAUGUGGGGUCCGUUCC